CAUCUUUGCCCCUCCCCCUGCACGUGCACGCUCUCUCUCUCUCAAACUUAAAAAUAUAUAUAUAUUGAUAUGACUGCCUCCUAUGUACUCCUUCCUCCCUUCUUCCUUUCCAGAGGGAACCCCUCUCCUGAAUUUGGUAUUUAAAAUUCCUGCAUAUGUUUUUUUGUUACUAUACACAAAUAUAUUUUCUAUAUAUUUCUCUAUAAUUACUAUUAUAUAUGUUUUUACAAAGUUUAAUAUUUUUAUUUGAAGAUUUUGAUAGUGUGCUUCUCUUUAACUUGCCUUUUUCUCUCAACAUCAGUGUCUCAAUGUAUUCAUGGAUGCUUAUAGCACUAGUUUAUUCAUCAGCUUUAUAAGAUGAAUAUCAUAUUUCUAUUUUAUGGACAAAAUGGGUGAGAGAGGCCAUGCAACUGGAAAUGAUGGGUGAUGUGCACUCAAGUUUUCAUGGACCUAAGGCCACAAACCUCUUGCCAUAUAACCCUGUAGUGAAAGUUUCAAAAUGAGGAUUAGCUGAACAAGAAAUAUCAUUUCCAGAAUCUAUACAAUAAUAUUUCCAAAGAGACUUUUCUUGCAUUGAAUUCUCAUCUUAAAUCACCUCAGUAAAUCCUAGAUGCUUGGAUCCCCUGGAACCUUCAAUUUAGAUGUUUAUAAUUUCCUCAAGGCUUGGGGCUAUGUAAAGAUGAGGUCUUUACUCCAUGUAUCAAAAAAAAAAAAAAAAAAAAAAAGAAUUCUCAGUAAAAAACAGAAAUUAAAGCAAUCUUCCUUACCAAUUCCUCGAGGUAUCUCUGAAAUUGUGUUUCGAGAUAAAUCUAAUACAAUGAGGUUCUGAAAUCUUCCAAUGAAUUCAGGAAUUUUCAACAAACCAGUUCUAUGAAGUUGCCAUUCCUG